rnacentral:rRNA from 1 species
CACGAAACAGAAUGAGCUAAUAAAAAUUAUUAAUUAGAUUAAUGUAUGUUGCAUAAUAUGUAAUAAAUUUUCAUUAGGGGUGAAAGGCCUUUCAAGUCUUGUGAUAUCUUGAUGUUUUCGAAACGUAUUUAGUAUAUAAACAACUAAAAAGUGCUGAGAUUUUUUAGAUUUACAAAAUAAUAUGCUUAUUAAUUACAUGAUUUAACAAUUUGUAGAUAAUAAUAUAAGUAUUAUAAUAUAAAAUUUGUAGACUCUUAGAAAAUAUUCUAUAAAUAAAUAGUUUGAUUUAUAAUGUAGUUAUUAGUAAUUAAGAGAUAUUAAUAAUGAACUCGGCAAUAGAUUCUGCAACUGUUUAUCAAAAACAUAGCUACUAGAAAUAAUUAGUAGUUUGUUCUGCUCAAUGAAUAAUUAAAUAGCCGCAGUACCUUGACUGUGCAAAGGUAGCAUAAUCAGUUGGCUUAUAAUUGAAGUCUUGUAUGAAUGAAUAAAUGUAGAAUAACUGUAUCAUUAAUAUAAAGUGAAUUUGCUUAGUACGUGCAAAUUCGUGCAAUUUUAAAUAAUAGACGAGAAGACCCUAGAAAUUUUAAGAAUUAAGAAGAGAAUAAGGGUUUUUGUUGGGGCAACAGUGUAACAAAGUAAUUUACAUUAAGUACAUGAAAUUUAUUUGUAAGAUUAAAUUACUCUAGGGAUAACAGCGUAAUGUAUAAACGUUUGCGACCUCGAUGUUGGACUAGGAAAUGAAUGCUUAGAA